AUGUUUAGAAAAUUCAUGACCAUCCAAAAUUGAUUAAAAUAUGCUUUCAUUUUAUUUAAAAUAUUAAUUAUCUCUAUUUGGAAUUUAUUUCAUAGCUGAUGUUAAGGUAUGCAUCCAAAUUUAGUUGCUGAUCUCUAGAUGACUCUCCAUUCAUGAAGACAUAUUUUACUGAAUAUACCAUCUUUUCCCUAUUUUUUGAUAACUAAAUUUCCAUAAAUAAUUUGUAUGUUUGGACUUUCUAUUAUGUUCCGUCGAUAUCUCUAUCUGGACCUUUCUGGUAACAUGCUUCUUCACUUAGUACAGCAUUACACUUUGUCUUACUAACUGUGGAGGAAAUCCCUCACCAUUCUGUUUCAGAACUGAAGGCCUCCUGAAGCCCGAGAUUAUCUGCAGUAUCAGAUAGGGCCUCUAGAGGAAGAUGCUACACAACUUGAACUCGAUAGAAAGCCAGAAAGCAGCCAGCCCUUUGAGGAAGAGUUUUUACUUUGCAUGCCAGUGUAAACUCACUCACUGCUCUGUCAGGGUGUCCAUGUGGCUGAACUGUUUCCAGGAAAAACCUGCAGAAAGGAGCUUCCUGUUUCCUCACAGCUCAGACAUGAAGCCCACCCUCAUCUCAGUGCUCGUGAUGAUAUUCACACUCAGAGGAACAAGAGCCCAGACAGUGACUCAGCCUGAGGACCACAUCUCCGUCUUUGAAGGGUCCCCAGUGCAGGUGAAGUGCAACUACUCAUAUUCUGGGAGUCCUGUGCUCUUCUGGUAUGUACACUACCCCAAACAACAGCUCCAGUUACUCCUGAGACACACCUCAAGAGAGAGUAUCAGAGGUUUCACGGCUGACCUCAACAAGGGUGAGGCAUCUUUCCAUCUGAAAAAACUAUCAGCUCAAGAGGAAGACUCAGCGGUGUAUUACUGUGCUCUGAGGGACACAGUAACUGGUUUUACAAAGGAAGCAGAGCACAAACCCCUUAAGAGUUACUGAAAAUAUUUCUCAGUUCCCUAUUUGGCCACAG